AACGAACGUUGGCGGCGUGGAUGAGGCAUGCAAGUCGAACGCGAAAGCCGCAAGGCGAGUAAAGUGGCGGACGGGCGAGUAACACGUAAUCAAGCUACCUGCGAGACGGGGAUAACUUCGGGAAACCGAAGCUAAGACCCGAUGGUCUUCUAGGAACGCAUGUUCCAUGAAGUAAAUGGGCGGGAUCCUCCGGGAUCGCCUGCUCGCAGAGGUGAUUGCGGCCCAUCAGCUAGUUGGUAGGGUAAUGGCCUACCAAGGCAACGACGGGUAGCCGGCCUUAGAGGGUGGUCGGCCGCACUGGGACUGAGACACUGAACCCNGACUCCUACGGGAGGCUGCAGUCGAGAAUCUUCCGCAAUGGGCGAAAGCCUGACGGAGCGACGCCGCGUGGAGGAUGAAGGCCUUC
rnacentral:rRNA from 1 species